CCUACGUGAGGCAGCAGUGAGGAAUAUUGGUCAAUGGGCUUACGCCUGAACCAGCCAAGUCGCGUGAGGGAAGACUGCCCUAUGGGUUGUAAACCUCUUUUGUCAGGGAGCAACGCCGGCUACGUGUAGCCGGACUGAGAGUACCUGAAGAAAAAGCAUCGGCUAACUCCGUGCCAGCAGCCGCGGUAAUACGGAGGAUGCGAGCGUUAUCCGGCUUUAUUGGGUUUAAAGGGUGCGUAGGCGGAAUGCCAAGUCAGCGGUAAAAUCGCUGGGCUCAACCUCGCUCCGCCGUUGAAACUGGCGUUCUUGAGUGGGCGAGAAGUAUGCGGAAUGCGGGGUGUAGCGGUGAAAUGCAUAGAUAUCACGCAGAACUCCGAUUGCGAAGGCAGCAUACCGGCGCCCAACUGACGCUGAAGCACGAAAGCGUGGGUAUCGAACAGGAUUAGAUACCCGGGUAGUC
rnacentral:rRNA from 1 species